rnacentral:lncRNA from 1 species
UGCUAUCUGUACUUGUGGAAGCAGGAGACAACUGUAAGGAGAAGAAACCUCAUUGGCUCUUUAAUUUGCUCUUGCAGGGAAAAUAUAGAGAACGCAGGAAAACACCCAGAUUGAGAUUUGGCUGCCCAAGCUGCAAAUACUUAGGAAACCAAACAACUGGCCUGACCUCAAGCACAACCCAAAUUCUCGAACCUCAUAUAAAGUGUGAACCUAAGAUACUUAAGAGAAGCCACUAAUUUCUGGUUCAGAGUGAAAAUAAGGGCACCUACAAAACAGGGAGAGUGAGAACUUCAGGGUUAAGACCCUUCCUGGGUGAUGGAUAAAGGAAGUCAUUGUCCAGAUGAAAGACUCAUGAACUUGGAGACAGGAAUGAAGCCAUUGAAGCAACUUGGACGUCGGGAAUUCACUGAAGACCAGACUAAAGAGGGGCUUGUUCUAAUAGAAAUUCAUCUAAAAAGUUGGAGAUUCUGUAGAAGAUCUGAUGAAGAGGGCCAAUCACUGAGGAAAAAUGGAUAGCAUCCUAAAACAGUGGGUAGUAAGGGAACCGGUAUGUCUGAUCUUUUAAAG